AGAUGAAAUCUGAUUCUUUGUUAGCUUUUCGUUCCAUAAAAAAAGGCGUAUCGCAUUGCAGAUAGCGUGCUCUUCAACUCUCUUCUCCAUUGAUUAUCAGUCUACAGAGGUUCGGCGGAUCGUACUAUCAAGAUAUGGGAUUUAGCAAGUGGUAGGCUAAAGCUCACGUUGACGGGGCAUGUUGGGCAUGUAAGAGGCGUUGCUAUUCGCAACAAAAACAUUUUCUCAGCUGGAGACGAUAAACAAGUAAAAUUUUGGGACCUCGAACAAAAUAAGGUAAUUCAUUUGUUUCAUGGUCAUCUUCAUGGUGUAUAUUGUUUGGCUAUUCAUCCUACAAUCGACGUUUUCUACAUAGGGUCUAGGGAUUGUGUAUGCAGAGUUUGGGAUAUUCGAACUAAAACACACAUUCAUGUUUUUUCUGGACAUGAAAACACUGUUUCGUCUA